GACACCGGCUAGGCAGCAGAUCUUCCCGUGAGCUGUGGGAAGGGAUGGCACGGUGAUCCGGCUCUGCUCGGGGCUUGCCAGCCGACGGAUAGGCGCUGGAGCUCUGUGGCUCGGGCUGUCUCCUAGUGCUCGGGGGCACCGGGCAGGGACACUGCGCACAGCGGCUCCCGGGAGCCAGCACACGCAGGGAGCUGUCACGUUGUUACAUGAAGCGAGAGCAGAGAGGCGGCAAGCCAAGGAUCGCAUCCCUCUGGUAAAUACGAACAGUGUAGCUGAAGCAGCCUGUUCUUCCCUUACAAAAACUGGCGCUGCCGACAGCACUGCAGCCACAGCGAAGCGAGGACAGAAGUGGAAGGACGUACGGCGCAACACAGGCACAAGCACAAACAGCCACAGCAGCAGCAAGCUGUGAUGCACGGUGUGACAGCAGCCCAAUACUGAAGCAUUUGGGAAAGCUGCACCUGAACUUCCCUGGCUGGGGCAACUGAAAAGAUCUUUGACUCUUCUCUAUUGGCAUUCCUGCUCCAUAAUCAGAAGCACUCCCAUUGCCAAAGAUGAUGCCAGCUCCAAAGUCAAUUAAUUUGCUCCUGAAACCCUUGUAAAGCAUCCCACUGAACUGUGCCAAUGUCAAGAGGAAAAAAAAAAGGUAAAAUAAAAAGCAGUGAGGACUUAA